UAAAAACACAAAACUAACAUGCAAAGAAAAAAAAGACAAUCACUUAGCGGAGAGAGGAAAAAAAGGCCGUGUCUGCUGUGCCCAGGAGACGAAAGGUGCCCGAAAAUGUCUACGUUCACCUAUGACGUCACGUCCACUAUAACUUAUGAUGUCACAUCCGCUCAUUUCCAUGGCGGCCGUCUUACGGAGCCGGUUGCGCUGCGAAACGACUGAACAUCCCAUGUCUUGGUUUGACUUCCUGGUACAGGAUACUUGCACUUAGCAUGGAGUGAUGAAGCAGAGCAGUGUACUUUUAUUAAAUGUGAAGAUUUUAGCAGUAUAACAGCAGUUCACUAAAAAUACAUGUGCUGAAAAUAAAGUGUUCUUACCCACA